rnacentral:RNase_P_RNA from 1 species
UUGCGGUGGGAGGAAAGUCCGGGCAGCACGAGCCGCCAUGCUUCCUAACGGGAAGAGGCCGGGAAGGUAACGAUCCGGUCAUAGCAAGCGCCACAGAGAACAUACCGCCUCUUUUUAGAGGUAAGGGUGAAAACGCGGGGUAAGAGCCCACGACGUGACCUGGUGACAGGCAUGAUGGCAAGCCUCAUGGGCUGAAAGACCAUGUAUACCGACAGAUUAAGGGCAGGCUCGCUCUUUUUUGGCGAAAGUCGAAAAUGUCGGGGGGUAGGUUGAUAGAGGCCGCCGGUGACGACGGCAGUAGAUUAAUGAUAGAACACGACAGAACCCGGCUUAUAGGCGCGCUA